rnacentral:ncRNA from 2 species
AACGUUCAUCUCGGAUAAAGACCUCCUGGAGAAUUUUCCCGGAGUCAUCAGGUAGAGACGGAAGUAGGGAUGAUCCCGAAGGAACGCGCC